CCUUGGACGGGGAGAACAUCCAACAGGGUCUGGAUAGUAACGUAGGCUUCACAUCUGUGGACAGGGAGAACAUUGGGCACAUUGCUGAGGUGGCCAAGCUGUUUGCAGAUGCAGGAUUGAUCCUGCGUCACCAGCUUCAAAACUCCAUUCACUAAGGUGAGUGAGUGAAACGGAUAAACAGACAGACUGUUCAAUUCGCACUUGAUAUGAGAUACUUAGUUGGAAAUGUAUCAAAGGGCCAUCUCUAAAUCAUCCACUGUGAUGGAUCUGAGCUCUGGCUUGUAUAGCUGCUAUAAUGUGUCUCUGCAUUCACUUCUGUUACUACCUGGGUUUGAAAACCUGUUUUUGUUAUAGAAGUGAAAUCAAGAUACCAAUCCUGUUGAUUUUUGCUACCCAGUCUCUUCCUCCUGUGCGUAGGACCGAGAUGAAGCCAGGAAGAUCCAUGGUUGCUCUGGGCUGUUGUUCUUCGAGGUGUUCAUUGCUAGAAAGAUGUUGACAUCGAGUAAUUGUCUCUGGCCCCCUCCCAGUUAGGGGAAGUGAUGAGCUCUACAGCAGUCUCACAACAAUCACUGGUAGAAAAAUGUUUUCUGCCCCUCCCAAAAUAUAGAAUUUGUAGAUAAUUGGCCCUCUUUCUGGGACUCGCCCACAAACAGGACCAAGCCUGGCCUGCUGAGGAGUAACGGACUCCAUCCUAGCUGGAGGGGUGCUCUCAUCUUAACUAUGAACAUAGACAGGGCUCUAACUCCUCUAGCUCCACAAUGAGAUAGGGUGCAGGCCAGGCAGCAGGCUGUUAGCCAGCCUGCCAGCUUGUUGGAGUCACUAGCCACUAGCACAAUCAGUGUAGUCAGCUCAGCUAUCCCCGUUGAGACUGUGUCUGUGCCUCGAUCUAGGUUGGGCAAAACUAAACAUGGCGGUGUUCGCUUUAGCAAUCUCACUGGAAUAAAGACCUCCUCCAUCCCUGUUAUUAUUGAAAUAGAUUGUGAUAUCGCCCAUCUCAAAAUAGGGCUACUUAAUGUUAGAUCCCUCACUUCCAAGGCAGUAUAGACAAUGAGCUAAUCACUGAUCAUCAUCUUGAUGUGAUUGGCCUAGACUGAAACAUCGCUGUAAAUGAGGAAUGGCGUCAUUUACUGUGUUGUGAGGCCUCACCUCCUGGUUACACUAGUGACCAUAUCCCCCGCGCAUCCCGCAAAGGCGGAGGUGUUGCUAACAUUUACAAUAGCAAAUUUCAAACAAAUGUAAAAAAAUUACUGCGUUUUUGUUUUUUGAGCUUCUAGGAAUGAAAUAUAUGCAGCCUACUCAAUCACUUUUUAUAGCUCCUGUUUACAGGCCUCUUGGGUCAUAUACAGCAUUGCUCACUGAGUUCCCUGAACUCCUAUAGGACCUUGUAGUCAUGGCAGAUAAUAUUCACACAUUUGGUGACUUUAACAUUCACAUGGAAAAGUCCAGAGACCCACCCCAAAAGGCUUUCGAAGCCAUUAUUGACUCAGUGGGGUUUUUUUUUCAGUCAUACUCUGGACCUAAUUUUGACCCAUGGAAUAAAUAUUGUGGAUCUUAAUGUUUUUCCUCAUUAUCCUGGACUAUCGGACCAGAAUUGUAUUAAGUUUGCAAUUGCAACAAAUAAUCUCCUUAGACCCCAACCAAGGAUCCUCAAAAGCCGUACUAUAAAUUCCCGGACAACCCAAAGAUUCCUAGACUCCCUCCACCUACCCAAGGAUGUCGGAGUAAAAAAGUCAGUUAACCACCUAACCGAGGAACUAAAUUUAACCUUGCGUACUACCCUAGAUGCAGUCACACCCCAAAAAACUAAAAACAUUUGUCAUAAGAAACUAGCUCCCUGGUAUACAGAAAAUACCCGAGCCCUGAAGCAAGCUUCUAGAAAAUUGGAACGGAAAUGGCGCUCCACCAAACUGGAAACUCUUCCGACUAGCUUGGAAAGACAGUAUCAUGCAAUAUCGAAGAGGCCUCACUGCUGCUCGAUCAUCCUAUUUUUCCAACAUGAUUGAGAAGAAUUAGAAUAAUCCAACAUUUAUUUUUGAUACUGUCACAACGCUAACUAAAAUGCAUUCCCCAAGAGAGGAUGGCUUUCACUUCAGCAGUGAUAAAUUCAUGAACUUCUUUGAUAUAAAGAUCAUGAUCAAUAGAAAGCAAAUUGUGGACUCCUCUUUUAAAUCUGCGUUUUUCUCCAAAGCUCAGUUGUCCUGAGUCUGCACAAUACUGCCAGGACCUAGGAUUAAGGGAGACACCCAAGGUUUUUAAUACGAUAUCUCUUGACACAUUCAUGAAAAUAGUAAUGGCCUCUAAACCUUCAAGCUGCAUACUGGACCCUAUUCCAACUAAACUACUGAAAGAGCUGCUUCCUGUUCUUGGCCCUCCUAUGUUGAACAUAAUAAAUAAACUACAGUUAGUGCUAAACAUAGCUGCUAGACUCCUGACUAGAACCAACAAAAAUGUAUCAUAUUACUCCAGUGCUAGCUUCCCUACAUUAGCUUCCUGUUAAGGCUAUGGCUGAUUUCAAGGUUUUACUGCUAACCUACAAAACAUUAAAUGGACUGGCUCCUACCUAUCUCUCCGAUUUGGUCCUGCCGUAAAUACCUACACGUACGCUACGGUCACCAGACGCAGGCCUCCUUCUUGUCCUUAGAAUUUCUAAGCAAACAGCUGGAGGCAGGGCUUUCUCCUAUAGAGCUCCAUUUUUAUGGAAUGGUCUGCCUAUCCAUGUGAGAGACGCAGACUCGGUCUCGACCUUUAAAUCUUUAUUGAAGACACCUUUAUUGAAGACACAUCUCUUCAGUAGGUCCUAUGAUUGGGUGUAGUCUGGCCCAGGAGUGGGAAGGUGAACGGAAAGACGCUGGCGCAAAGAACCGCCCUUGCUGUCUCUGCCUGGCCGGUUCCCCUCUCUCAACCGGGAUUUACUGGUGCUCUUCCAUCCCAUCUCUAGGAGGGGUGCGUCACUUGAGUGGGUUGAGUCACUGACGUGAUCUUCCUGUCUUGGUUUGGCGCGGGUUCGUACCGUGCGGGAGAUAUUUGUGGGCUAUACUCAGACUUGUCUCAGGGUAGUAAGUUGGUGGUUGAAGAUAUCCCUCUAGUGGUGUGGGGGCCAUGCUUUGGCAAAGUGGGUGGGGUUAUCCUGCCUGGUUGGCACUGUCCAGAGGUAUUGUCGGACAGGGCCACAGUGUCUCCCGGCCCCUCCUGUCUCAGCCUCCAGUAUUUAUGCUGCAAUAGUUUGUGUCGGGGGGCUAGGGUCAGUCUGUUAUGUCUAGAGUAUUUCUCCUGUCUUAUCCGGGGUCCUGUGUGAAUUUUAAGAAUGCUCCCUCUAAUUCUCUCUCUCCCAUUCCCUCCCCUCCCGGUUGACCUGAGCCCUGGGACCAUACCUCAGGACUACCUGGUCUGAUGACUUCUUGCUGUCCCCAGUCCACCUGAUCAAUCUGCUGCUCCAGUUUCAACUGUUUUGCCUGCUGCUAUGGAACUUGACUUGUUCACCGGAUAUGCUACCUGCUGUUUUCCACUCUCUCUCUCUACCGCACCUGCUGUCUUCUAACUUUGAAUGCUCAGCUAUGAAAAGCCAACUGACAUUUACUCCUGAGUUGCUGACCUGUUGCACCCUCUACAACCCUGCUGGUCAUCUAUGAACGUUUGAAGAUCUUGGCCAUGUACUGUUAUAAUCUCAAACCGGCACAGCCAGAAGAGGACUGGCCACCCCUCAGAGCCUGCUUCCUCUUCAGGUUUCUUCCUAUAUUCCUGACUUUCUAGGGAGUUUUUCCUAGCCACAGUGUUUCUACAUCUGCAUUGCUUGCUGUUUGGGGUCUUAGGCUGGGUUUCUGUGUAGCACUUUGUGACAUUGGCUGAUGUAAAUAGGGCUUUAUAAAUAAAUGUGAUUGAUUGAUUGACUGACUCUGCCCUCUAGUGUUCCAGUUCUCUUUUACAUGACAUUACAGAGCUACAUUUAGCAGUAAAGAUCAUAUGGCUUUAAAGUCUACUACUUUACAUGCUAUGCUAUUAAACAAGCAAAGAGAGUGGGUCAUAGAAUGUACAGCUACAGCACUAAAGAGGUGUCAAUUAUUGACUAGGUCCUGAACAGGUAUCCUAAUCCUCUCCCCUUAGGCUUUAAGGGCAUCGAUUCACUCUUGGAGAAGCCUGAGUUACCUGAGCUUGUGCUGAAGACCGGAGAGAUCUCAGCGAAUGAGUGCAUCCAGCACGUGGUCGAGCUGCUGAAGUAACAGGACUGUCUAUCUAUGGUCCCUGAGACCUUGUUGGGACUCGUCUGCCUGUGGUGUAGCUAAUUCAGUUUUUUCCAAUUACUGGUACUGCCCUAUCUCUACCAUGACGAAAAUGCCCUUGUCAUUGGACGAAAUGAUUCAAAUGAGUAUUUUCAGGCUCCUUUGAACAGUGUGAACUUGUUAAUGUACUAACAUAUUGAUCCCUUUGUUUUGUAUUGUGCCAACUAGUGUGACAGAGGAAGUUAAUGAGAGCUUUGUGCCAGAGAACAAGCUUGACUUGGCACUGAGCGACGCCAAGACGCCGCCCACCGUCAGCAUUACCAAGUGGGUGCAGGUGCUGCUGGCCCUCAAGGGCAUCUGGAGGGAGCAGGAGUUCCUGCAGGUUCUGCACUCUUCUGGAUGGUAAUACUGCCUGUACUGGUCCUUAUUCCCCUCCCCCAUGAUGUACGCCGGACCCACUGAGUAGAAUCAGGUCACAUCAGUUGAGCCACACUGCAGGGCACGGAUGAUAGCUGGUGCCAACUUCUACAUCGUGGGUCGGGCCCCUGCGCUCAUGCCUCACCCAGAAACCAAACAGGACCUGUAUGAGCUCCCAUGGCCCCUGGCCUCACCUCUGUAUAGAUCAUCCCCUUCAGAGUGGCUGCCUACAACAAGACUCAGAGCUGUGGACUUCUAUGAUAAGGAGAGGUUCAUAGACAUAGCAAUUUUCUUGGGCCAUGUUUUUCCGGACUACUGUAUGUGGCCUGACCAGGAAAAUCUCUGGGAUCUAGUUGUAAGCAAUAACUAGGGCUCAAGAAAAACAUAUUUAUCCCUGAGAGUCAAGCUGCUUCACUUUUUUUCUCUUACCUACCUUUCCAGACACCAGGAAUUUGAGUUAAUCUCAGUGACCAAGAUGAGGAUUGGGGAAGCGCAGUGGGGAAAACCCUCUGGGUGACCAAUAAGGCCUGGAAGGUCCUCACAGAGUACUACAGCUCCCUGCAGAAGUCCAAAUGAACACCUACACAUCCUGGUUUGAACAGACGGAUCACUCCUUCCUAUUUUAUAUUCUCAUUUUCAAACAAGUGCUGUAGAAAUCUAGGCAUAAAUGGAAUACUUGCCUGACAGCUUUAAAAACAUUUAUUUUUACAACUGUAUAUCGUUUAGUAUUAUGAGUAGGUCAAAGGGAAUCUGUAAGCACCUAAGUUGAAGUCAAUAUGAAUAUUUUAUUAACAGAUCACUUUUGUUACCCAUCUAUGCAUCUUAACAGCCAAGGUAGUAACUUAAAACAUUUAUGAUAGAUGUUUUUUAAGCUGUGAGAAGACAAAUGAUGUAAUUCCGUUGAUGAGUGACCAAGACGUUUGUGGUAUGUGAGUGGAAGGGGUUUUAACUACCUUUGUAUAAUGGAAUGAAACUAUAUCAAGUGAUGCCAUAUUAACUCAUGUUCUUCGACCCUAUUUACCUUUUUAUAUUUCAGAAUACUUUUCAGAGUAUAGGAAAUGUCAAGCAAAUA